rnacentral:rRNA from 1 species
CAGUAGCCGCGGGAAUACGUAGGGUGCGAGCGUUAAUCGGAAUUACUGGGCGUAAAGCGUGCGCAGGCGGUUAUAUAAGACAGAUGUGAAAUCCCCGGGCUCAACCUGGGACCUGCAUUUGUGACUGUAUAGCUAGAGUACGGUAGAGGGGGAUGGAAUUCCGCGUGUAGCAGUGAAAUGCGUAGAUAUGCGGAGGAACGCCGAUGGCGAAGGCAAUCCCCUGGACCUGUACUGACGCUCAUGCACGAAAGCGUGGGGAGCAAACAGGAUUAGAUACCCCCGUAGUCCCUGUCUCUUAUAC